UAACCACUGAGCCAUCUCUCCAGCCCUGAC
rnacentral:piRNA from 1 species